rnacentral:rRNA from 1 species
GACGAACGCUGGCGGCAUGCCUAAUACAUGCAAGUCGAGCGAACAGAUGAAGUGCUUGCACUUCUGACGUUAGCGGCGAACGGGUGAGUAACACGUAAGGAAUCUACCUAUAAGCGGGGGAUAACAUUCGGAAACGGGUGCUAAUACCGCAUAAUAUCUUCUUCCGCAGGGAAGAAGAUUGAAAGACGGCUCUGCUGUCACUUAUAUAUGACCUUGCGUUGCAUUAGUUAGUUGGUGGGGUAAUGGCCUACCAAGACGAUGAUGCAUAGCCGACCUGAGAGGGUGAUCGGCCACAUUGGGACUGAGACACGGCCCAAACUCCUACGGGAGGCAGCAGUAGGAAAUCUUCCGCAAUGGGCGAAAGCCUGACGGAGCAAUGCCGCGUGAGUGAAGAAGGCCUUCGGGUCGUAGAACUCUGUUAUAAGAGAAGAACAAAUUGUAGAGUAACUGCUACAGUCUUGACGGUAUCUUAUCAGAAAGCCACGGCUAACUACGUGCCAGCCGCCGCGGUAA